GUAAGACUGGCAUGUCCUAUGUGUGCUCAAAAAUGAGGGUGGUUGAUCUCACAACCACUUGUGUGGUGACACUAAUACAAGAAUAUGAGUGCUCAUUAGAGAAUGAGUUUACUGAAUAGACCUAUGAGAGAACAUCAGAUGGAGUCUUAUUUAUAUGUCAACUGAUGAUUGUCUAGUGGGAGUUGUGUAAGUAAUCUUUUGACCUG
rnacentral:lncRNA from 1 species